CGAAGCACACAAACAAAGAAGGACGCUUUUUUUGCGUAGCUUCUUCAGAAAAUCGAUGCUGUGAGGAAAUUCUCCGGACCACAGGCAGAAAGUGCCACCUUUAACUGGGAUGCCUGGUGAUUGGAGCUGUGGCGAAGAUAUCUCUGGGCUUUGGUUCAGCGAUUGAGCUGGUUUCAUUGCUGGGUUGCUAGUCAUAGAACAAAGGAAUACAAUCAUCAAACAACUGUUGAGUUGUGACAGCAGUUGUACAACGAAAACAGAACCGAGAUUACUCUUGGG
rnacentral:RNase_MRP_RNA from 11 species